rnacentral:rRNA from 1 species
GACGAACGCUGGCGGCGUGCCUAAUACAAGCAAGUAGAACGCUGAAGGAGGAGCUUGCUUCUCUGGAUGAGUUGCGAACGGGUGAGUAACGCGUAGGUAACCUGCCUGGUAGCGGGGGAUAACUAUUGGAAACGAUAGCUAAUACCGCAUAAGAGUAGAUGUUGCAUGACAUUUACUUAAAAGGUGCAAUUGCAUCACUACCAGAUGGACCUGCGUUGUAUUAGCCAGUUGGUGAGGUAACGGCUCACCAAGGCAACGAUACAUAGCCGACCUGAGAGGGUGAUCGGCCACACUGGGACUGAGACACGGCCCAGACUCCUACGGGAGGCAGCAGUAGGGAAUCUUCGGCAAUGGACGGAAGUCUGACCGAGCAACGCCGCGUGAGUGAAGAAGGUUUUCGGAUCGUAAAGCUCUGUUGUAAGAGAAGAACGAGUGUGAGAGUGGAAAGUUCACACUGUGACGGUAUCUUACCAGAAAGGGACGGCUAACUACGUG